rnacentral:rRNA from 1 species
UACGUAGGGCGCAAGCGUUAUCCGGAAUUAUUGGGCGUAAAGAGCUCGUAGGCGGUUUGUCGCGUCUGCCGUGAAAGUCCGGGGCUCAACUCCGGAUCUGCGGUGGGUACGGGCAGACUAGAGUGAUGUAGGGGAGACUGGAAUUCCUGGUGUAGCGGUGAAAUGCGCAGAUAUCAGGAGGAACACCGAUGGCGAAGGCAGGUCUCUGGGCCACUACUGACGCUGAGAAGCGAAAGCGUGGGGAGCGAACAGG